rnacentral:rRNA from 1 species
UACAGAGGUGGCAAGCGUUGUCCGGAUUUACUGGGCGUAAAGAGCGCGCAGGCGGUCGAUCAAGUCGAGUGUGAAAGCCCCCGGCUCAACUGGGGAGGGUCAUUCGAUACUGAUCGACUCGAAGGCAGGAGAGGGUAGUGGAAUUCCCGGUGUAGUGGUGAAAUGCGUAGAUAUCGGGAGGAACACCAGUGGCGAAGGCGACUACCUGGCCUGUUCUUGACGCUGAGGCGCGAAAGCUAGGGGAGCGAACGGG